rnacentral:lncRNA from 1 species
UUUUUUGUUUUUUGAGAUAGAGUUUUGCUCUUGUCGCCCAGGCUGGAAAAAAAAUAGUUAACUCUGGAACCAACUGUCUGUGACUUAGCUGUUCAUCUUUUCUGGGCUUUUCUUUAUUGUAUCAUGUAGUGGGAAAGUCACAAUUCUCUUUAAUUUGUUUUUAACAGAGUCAAGGUCUCACGAUGUUACCCAGGCUGGUCUUGAACUGAGCUCAAUUGAUCCUCCCACCUUGGCUUCCCCAAGUAAUCCCAA